rnacentral:rRNA from 1 species
CCUACGGGUGGCAGCAGUGGGGAAUAUUGCACAAUGGGGGAAACCCUGAUGCAGCGACGCCGCGUGAGUGAAGAAGUAUUUCGGUAUGUAAAGCUCUAUCAGCAGGGAAGAAAAUGACGGUACCUGAGUAAGAAGCCCCGGCUAACUACGUGCCAGCAGCUGCGGUAAUACGUAGGGGGCAAGCGUUAUCCGGAUUUACUGGGUGUAAAGGGAGCGUAGACGGCUGUGCAAGUCUGGAGUGAAAGGCGGGGGCUUAACCCCCGGACUGCUUUGGAAACUGUGAGGCUGGAGUGCAGGAGAGGUAAGUGGAAUUCCUAGUGUAGCGGUGAAAUGCGUAGAUAUUAGGAGGAACACCAGUGGCGAAGGCGGCUUACUGGACUGUAACUGACGUUGAGGCUCGAAAGCGUGGGGAGCAAACAGGAGUAGAUACCCUAGUAGUC